UACGUAGGGGGCUAGCGUUGUCCGGAAUCAUUGGGCGUAAAGCGCGUGUAGGCGGUCCGGUAAGUCCGCUGUGAAAGUCGGGGGCUCAACCCUCGAAUGCCGGUGGAUACUGUCGGGCUAGAGUGCGGAAGAGGCGAGUGGAAUUCCUGGUGUAGCGGUGAAAUGCGCAGAUAUCAGGAGGAACACCAAUGGCGAAGGCAGCACUCUGGGACGGUACUGACGCUGAGACGCGAAAGCGUGGGGAGCAAACAGG
rnacentral:rRNA from 1 species